GUGCUCACUUUGGCAGCAUAGAUACUAAAACUGGACCAAUACAGAGAAGAUUAGCAUGGCCCCUGCGCAAGGAUGACACGUAAAUUCGUUGUGUUCUUUUUUU